rnacentral:lncRNA from 1 species
AAAAAUUCCCCCAUUUCUCUACUAGUUUCAUUCUGAAAUUUGAGUUCCUAACUCAAAAGUAUUCAAAAAAUCAAAAACAAAAGAUAGUAGUAAUUCUCAGAAAAAAACCAAAAACAAUAGAAAAUUUAAUAGAAAAUCCAAAAAAGAAACAGCCACUGUUACAUUGCAAUAUUAAAUCCAGUUUCAAGUUGUAGUGUGGAUUUACAUUAUUUAGCUUAGAGUUUGAUUGCUGAAGUUUUGUGAUUGUUCCUGGGUUCAAUUUCGAGUCAUUUUAGUUGUAUUCAAGCUGUUUUGGAUGGUAUUUUUGGUUAUAAGGUCCUGGUUCAUUUUGAGAUCAAUAUCAUGCUUAUUCAAGUGGCUUUGGUUUGACUUGUUAGUUCUGCUUGAUUUCAAAAACCUCCUGAGUUGCGUUUUGAUCAUUGGCUCCCUGAUUGUUCCGCACUGCUGAAUUUCGUUGUUGCUCGCUGUUGCUUUGUUGGUGACUUCUAUCUCUUCUCCUUUGUUAUUUCACAUCUCCAGGUACAUUCCUUCAACUAUCUCGAUGUAUUUUGAAUUGAAGCUGCAAUAAGAACAUUCCACCAGCUUUGAGCCCAUUGAGAUUGCUUUUUAAUUCAAUAGAUGUUGUUGAAAUAGAUGUGGUUAAUAUUAGCAGCUAUUUUGUAUUAUGUGAUGACAUAUUGAUUAGGGUUGUUCUUAAGUUGAUUUGGAUAUUUAUACUCUCGGACUAUUUGAGCUUUUGGAUAAUAUAUUAGUAUGUCAUGGUUGAAUUUUAUGGUUGUGUAAUGUGAUUUUUGAAAAGCAAACAAAGGAUAGUUAGAAUAGAAAGCAAUUUUGGUAUCCACGAUUUAUAUUUGUGUUGAUAGCUGGAAAUUAAGUGAUAAAUUGGUAGGUAGAUUGAGCAGCCUAAAGUAACUGUCAUGUUGCCAUUCAUCAAUUCUAAGCUAAGUGUUAGAUCAAUUUAUAUUCAAUUAUCAAGUGCAUAUUGCAAUGGCAUGAAAUAAAUAAGCAUGUCUUCGUUCCUCUUAAAAAAACUGAAAUUCUGUUUGAAACUUAAGGCUCAGCAACACUUUAAAAGUGCAUAGAAAUGGCAGAAAUGAGUGUUGCGUCUGCUUAAGUAUGGGCUCAAAGUUGGGUCUGUUGACACGCGACUGUGAGGGCGUGAUUUGGGCCUUCUUUCAAGGGCUCAGCAGUUUUACGUAUUAAAUUUGUUCGGUAUCUCCAUGGGCCCAACUUUGAAAUGGUAUUGAACUGCUAAUGGUUACUUGGUUACGUUUGGUUUUUGAGUUAGGUAGCGGGUUUUAAACUAAAAGGUUCGUCCUUUUAUUUGGACCCGGACUUGAACUCGAAGCCCGGGUUUUUUAAAUAUAAUUAAUUAUUAAUUUUUCUCUCCUUAUUAGCGACAAAAAAUAGAAAAUAUCAUCAGUUUUAGGUUUAUCCUUUAAAAUAAUAUGAGACGAGACUCGCCCAAUAAAAUGCAAAAUCGCAGGGCCCUCAAUAAAGGUUUAAUAAAGUAUUUAGAAAAUCUGGAAGGACCGUUUAGAAAAUUUCACGGCCCUCCCAAAAGAUUACAACGCGUUAGACUCUAUUCGAUGCGACUUUAAUAAAUUACAUUGCUAUAUAUGGGUGGGGAUUUUAUGCGACCCAAAUCCAAAUCCUAAAAUGUUGAAUUGAGUGUGCCUAGGAUUACGGGUUCAUCUGAUGCGGCGCAAUUCGAAAACACACUUUAAACGACGUUAACUCUCUCUUAAAUAAAUACAUAUUAAAUAAAAGCGGUUAAAGAUAAAAUUGGCACAUAGGCUCUUCAUGUAUUAAAAAUCCGAUUUUAGCCAUUCAUAUCAAUUUAAGCGACCGUGCUAUAACCACGGGAUCCGAGGGUGCCUAACACCUUCCCUCGGGUCAACAGAAUUUCUUAUUCAGAAUUUUGGUUCUCAAACUCCAAUUGGGAAGUCGAAUAUUUUCCUCAAAUUGAGAUUCAAGUUAAACCGGUGACUUGGGACACCAAAAUCCAAACCUUUCCCAAGUGGCGACUCUGAAAAAUAAAUAAUUCCGAUCCUAAUAAUGUCACUUUAAUUGGAAAAAUUCCCCUUAUACAUUUAUCCUUCGGGGUAGGUGUGUAAAAAGGAGGUUUGACAAUCUAUGUGAGUUCAUGUUGGGCCGUUAUGGAGGACUCGAGGCCGGAUAAUUGCCUAUGGUUUUAGCACCGAUGUGCUGGUUGAGUGAGCAAGUGUUUCGAACUUAUAUAUUUAGUGUUGUUCUUAUUAGCCGGAAUGGCGGCUGGGUAUCCAUGUGAUGCGCAUGUUAGUACCGUGGGGCAUAUCUAUGUGAUCUUGGUAGUGACGAAGAAGUCUGAUGGAUAAUUGAUGAACUGUUAAGUGUUCGAUUCUUAUUGUGCUUUAAUGUGUAGUCCGAGUUAUAGGCGCGUGAAGAAUAUUUCAUGUCACUUAGUUGGCAAGUAAAGUACAUUCCAGGUGGCAGUAUGAGUAUUGACUCAAAAAGACUAAAUGGUUGUGUAUUACGUAUAUGAUGGUGUAAGGUAUGUGUUGUAUUUUUAUGUAUUGGGACGCUUAAGAAAGUGAAUUCAGUUGAUGUGGAAAUGAAUGCGAGGCUUGCAGAGAAUGUCAGUGCUAGAUGAUCUGUGUAUUCAAAAAAUUUUAAAUGACUUGAGUUUAGUUCUCUCAAUAAUGUUGUAAUUUUAUUAGAGUAAAAGUAUUUGGAUUAUUGAGCGUGUCCUGGUAUAUGGCUUCAGCCAAGUUGAGGAGGUUGCUAUGGAUAGGCUGAUUGCACUGUUGUAUUCUAUGAUUGGUUUUGUUUCAAGGUAUGUUGGCGGAUCAGGUCUGGUCAUAGGAAUUGAGCCGAGAAUGGCGCAUGUGAAUGAAAAUUUUGAUAAGGGAUAUAUGGUGCUUCGUAGAUGUGAACAAAUACUACGAUGUUUGAAACUGCUGUUGAUAAAGAAUUCUCAAUGUAUAGGGAAGGAAAAUGGUUAUUUAUAUCUGUAUGAGAUCAUGUUCUGCGGUGUCAGAGUACUAAUAAGGAACGAGCGGUUCUGUCUGUUAAGGCAGGUAAAUUUUAGUUGUUCAAGAGUGAAUGACUCUCGAGAUUGGUUUUAAUGUGUCCAAGAUUUUUGCAUGUAAGAAUCAGGUGUCUUAAGUUUAUGUAUGUAGCUAGAGACUGUAUUUUCAUUAGAAAAAAUCAAGACUUGUGGUAUUUUAUGUUGAUCAUGGGAUUCUACGUAUCUGUAUUUGGAAGGUAAUGGUAACGAAUUCAGAUUCGCAGGAUGUUCUUCAAGAUAAAGCAUUAUCGAAUAUCGUAUUUCUGGGAAGCGUUCGAGAGGGUAUUCAGUGGCCUAGUGGUCUUACAUGCGAGUCUCGUGUGGUAACCUGAGUCGAGGUAUUGUGGUGCUUCAAAAAGGGGGAAUAUCAAAUUUAUGAUGAGUCAUGAAGGAAAUGAGAUAAAUAGAUUAGCUUGAUAAUGCACCAAAUCAUUAUGGUAAGGAUAUGAUUAAUUCUUGUAUGUUUUUGAGGUAAUGAGUCUUACAGGGAUUGUGCAGCAAAGCUUUUAAGCGUUGGAAGCUUGCUUAACUUGGUCUGGAUGGAAGGACUCAGUCCUGGUAGUUUAACUUGUGCACUGGAAUUGGGAGAAAGAGUUCUUGAUGUGUUUUACCGUGGUUUGAAGAUGGGCAUGUUAUCCUAGUGUGGAAUGGUCUGUGUGCUAAGAUAUGGAGAAUUGAGAAUUGCAUGUUCAAGGCUUUGGUUCAGUUCAUAAUGGUAAAUUAUAAAAUUCUUGAGCAACACGAACAACUUCAGGUGAGUAAAGAAUGGAUAUUCAGAUGAUUAAGGUGAUGUAAAUUGAUGAUACAUCAGUAGUAUUGCGACAUUUUUCUUGUUGGAUCAACUGCAGAUAUUUGAGUUUGUUGACGGCACAUGAAAUUUGAAUAUAUUUCGUGGUAUGAAUGGAUACUUGAUGUGUGUUAUGAAUUCGUACGGAGGAGUGUGGGAUCAAGCAUAGUGAUUCAUGCGUUAUAUGUGUUGGGGACUAGAAGUUCUCCUGAUCCGACCAUGCGGUGGUUGUGGGUCGUGUGUAUCGACAUGGUCUUCCAGUUUUUGGAAACUGGAGGUCCGAGUGGAUUUUCUUUGCUUGGUAUGUUAAAUUUGGGUUAUGAUAUUAGAUUGCAGACUGGUUGUUCCAAUAUCAGGUUGUCUAGACUAAUGUGUUAUGGGCUAUGUCGGAAAAAGGGUGCAGGAUACGUGACAAGGUGCAUCGAAUUAUUGUUCUAGCAGGGUAGCUUGUAUUCCAGAGACCAGUGGACAACUGGAACAAUGCUUAUUGAUUGGGCGUGUGUGGCGGAUGUCAGUGCAGAGGUUUCUACCAUUUAUUUAGUUCUGGUAUUGAGGGACUUUUUGGACGCAUUUCUUGCGGCCAGGCAUGGGACUAUAUGUGUUUACUGUAAUGAGCAGAUUUGGCUCGAUGUGCAUCUCCUUUUAUGAGAUAUAUAUGUGGAUCGAGUGGCAUGCCACUACGGUAUGUUAUCUGGAUUGGGUUCGCGCCGCAACAGUCUGAUAUGGAGAAUAAUUUUCUAUAUGUUGCUUUGUAUGCCUUGCUUCACCCUGGGUAUGGUGAAUUGUUUGGUUUCAGACCUCAAUCUGUACGUGGCUAUCUGUGUUGAGAAUGGUGGCUUGAGGUUCUUCAUGGGUAAUCGUGUUUGGAUAGAGUCACGCGUUGUGGCAAGGCCACAUGAUGUUAUGACCUUUCGAGGAGGAUUCAGGUACUCUAUUUCUAUUAUGUGAGAUGGGAUAUCAGUUCUGUGUUGUGAUCGUAUGGAGGAUUUGAAUUAUAACACUUUCAUUUGAGUCAGUCGUCAUGGUUCGAGUGUGUUCAAAUCAUUUCGUAUUGGUGCCUGUGCUGAGAACGUUGUGGCUUAGGCAGGAGUUGAGGUGUCGUAUCACCAGAUUAGCGUGAUGUAGUUGAGAUAAUCGUCGCGGUCAUUAAUGAGAACGAGCAUAUUUGAUUUCAGUUGUUAGAAAGGUAAUAUUGGGGUUUGACUCCGAAAUCUGUUGUAGUAUCAGUCAGAAAGGGAAUGGACUCAUAAAUGGGUGAUCUAAGAGAUGGGUUCAGUUUAUCGUGUGUUUUAGUUGUCAUUGGCAUUAUAUGAAAGUGUUGGAAUAAGACUUUAGCUAAAUAAGAGGGUCUCUAUUGGUAUUGAGUACUGUGGGCAACUGCUGGGAAUAGAUUCCAUUGUCUCGAGUGUUUGGGUUCUGUAGACUAUCAUGUGGUCUCACCUGGAGUGGCGAGUAUAGGUUAUUACAGCUGGUUCGGGUUAAUUUUUAGUAUAGAUGUGAGGUAAUGAUUAUGUGUAUGUUUUCAGGAUGUGACGAACCGACCCGUCGUCUUAUGUGUUACUACUCUGUUUCCCCCUUAGUGUGUUGCUUCAUGUUUCAAUAUCAGUAUUAGAGUCUAUAGGGUGUAAUUGAAUUGGUUUUUUGUUGAAAAUAAGGCACAUGGCCUCUUAGAAGGAAGCUUAUAUUGGAAACGUCAACCAGAAGUUGACUUGUGAGUUAGAAGGCUUGGAUGCGAUUUUCGAUGAUUCGGUUAGCUUCGGGAGAUGAAUUGUGACUUGGGAGAGAAAACAGAAUUGAAUUUGGAGGUCCAGUGUAGCAUUAGGCUUGAAUUGGCUAAGUUGAAUUUCGGCGAAUUUCGGUUGAUAGGUGAGAUUUUGAUCCGAGUGUCGGAAUGGAAUUCCAAAUGUUGCGGUAUCUUUGUUAGUGAUUUUCGAUAUGUAUGCAAAUUUUCAAGUCAUUGGGAUGUCGUUUGGUCGGGUUUUUGAUCGAAUAUGAGUUUCGGAAGUUUUAAGAAAAAUUUAAGCUUGAAUCUGUCGUGAUUUGAUGAUUUUUGAGUUAAAGAACGUGUUUUUAUAAUUGGAAAGUUUGUAUGAGGUUUUGGGGUAUGUUGGUGUCUAUGGUUGAGGUCCCGCGGGCCUCGGGGUGAUUUCGAGUGUUCAAACGGACUAGUUUGGCCUUGGGAGAGAUCAGAUUUUGCUGUCAUAUGUUGUAGACCAUAAAGCAUCGCGUUCGCGUGAGGAGUAACGCGAUCGCGUAGAAUAAUUUGAGGGCCUAGAAUUCUUGUGCAUUGCGUUCGCAUGAAGGCUAUCACGAUCGCGUAGGCCUGGGAUGAUGUGCAUUGCAGUCGCAGGAGGAAAUGUCACGUCCGCGUAGAGAAGGGGCACUGUGCAUCGCGUUCGCGUGGUCAGACAUGCGUUUGCAUAGUGUAUUUGGACUGUUGAAAUAUUUUUGUCUUCAUGUUCGCGUGGGAGGAGUCGUGAACGCGACGAACGAUUUUUGGACCUGGAGCAGAAUGUUUAGAAUUACUUCCUCCGCGUGUUUAAGUCAUUUUUCCUCCAUUGUUGAGAGAUUUUGGAGCUAUUGGACGAGGGAUUAAGAGGAUUUAACCUAGGUUUUGACUUGAGGUAAGUUCUAUGAGCUUAAUAUAUGAGAUUGUUGAAGAAUCAUCCAUUAAUUCUCUGAAUUUGGGUAUGAANNNNNNNNNNNNNNNNNNNNNNNNNNNNNNNNNNNNNNNNNNNNNNNNNNNNNNNNNNNNNNNNNNNNNNNNNNNNNNNNNNNNNNNNNNNNNNNNNNNNNNUGGGUAUGAAAUUGAAGAAACUAGGGCUUGAGUUUUUGAUAUUUUAAAUUGGGAUUUGAUAGGUCAUUUGAGCUCGGAUUUGGGAUUUCUUUGUAUGUAUGAACUCGUGGAGAGACGAGGAUUCCGAAAAUAUAAGUUUCGUAAUUUUUCAAGAAGCGGGCCCAGGGCUCGAGUUUUGCUAGUUUCGAGAGUUUUGUUAUAUUUCAUUGUUUUCGAUGGGGUGUUGUCCCAUUAGCAUAUUAUUGAUAUAUUUGUACUGGUUUUGGUUAGAUUUGACGCGCGUGGAGGCCGAUUUGAGGGGAAUGGGCAUCGCGAGUUUGAGAUUUUGCCGGUUCGAGGUGAGUAUUACUUGAGAAUGAUAUCGUAAGGGUUUUAAACCCCGGAUUUGCACAUCCUAGGGCUGUAUUGUGGUGACUUGCAUGCUGGACCUGAGCGUAGGGUAGAGCACUGUUGGGAUUGUGACUUGGUCCGUCCCGGCUGUUUGUUUUUACCGCUAGAUUGUAAAUGUUUUGUUGUUAUCAUUAUGACUUGUGCUCAUUGCCAUACUUGGGGCUUAUCGACGAUUAUUUGAAACCCUGGUAUAUCAUAUUGUGACGCUAUAUGAGGCAAGACACGCACUCUAUGGCUAGAGCGGGGUCAUAUAUGUGGGAAAUUGUGACUCGGUUCAAUCCGAGGGAUGAAAUUAUACUAUAUUGGCGAUUUCUUCGCACCUUAUAUUGAUGUUAUCUAGGCUUGAUACCAUGUUUGGGGACUUAUGCCGGCUUGUAGAAUCCUAUAGGGAUUGAUAUAUCAGAGUUAGCAUGAUUUGCAUACUAUUUGAAUUCAGUCCAGGGUUUUUAACACUAUUUUUGUAAACUCAGCCAAAAUUCUAUGUUUUGAGAACACAAAUGAUUCUUACACGAUAUUUCGGGCUGACGAUCAUUAUAAAAAUUUUAUGUUUUGAGAAGACAAAUGAUUCUUAAACGAUAUUUCGGGCUGAAGAUCAUUAUCUCCCUAUUUUAUGGACUGUAUAUUAUUUCUUGGAAUGGUGGUAACUAUUGGCACCUUGUAUUGAAAUGGAAACGAUGGUAACUAUUGGCACCGUGUAUUGAAAUGGAAACGGUGGUAACUAUUGGCACCGUGUAUUGAAAUGGAAAUGGUGGUAACUAUUGGUCCAAUGUAUUGUAAUGGAAACAGUGGUAACUAUUGGCACGGUAUGAUAUUGCGCUUGGGCUGAAGGAGCCCUUCCGGAGUCUGUACACACCCAGUGAGCACCGUCGACGUCAAAUCAUAUGCAUGGUUGGCUCGGGCUGCACGCCGCAACGUAUUCAUGUGCAUUGCAUUGCAUUCAUGCAUUUACUCUUAUUUGUACUACGUGGAAGGACAUCUAGAACUCAUAUAUUGUUUGCAUACAUACUGUUACUUGCCUUGUUGACCAGAUACCCUGGUGUUAUAUGUUAAGGAGUGCUGAGCCCGACAGGCUGAUGUUGGAUAUUGUGAGUUGAUAUUGAGUCCGUAGGGCAGGUUUCUGAAUAUUUACUACUUGUUGAAAUUACCUUUGAAAUUGUUGAAAAAGCAUAUUUUCAAAAGAGAUUUUUGAACAGAACUUGGGAUUUAUUUCUAAAGGGAUUUUUCACAGCAUUUCGAUUUUUCUCAAAAAGGGCUAUGGCUUUAAUAGCAGUUUGGUGUGCUCAUACUUGUUUUCUUAUCGCUUAGAUAUUGUUCUCUCUUAUUACCGCUGAAUUGGAAGUACUCACGUUACUCCCUGCACCUUGCGUGCAGUUGCAGGUAUUGUUCACCCGAUAACGGGUCAUUAACAGGAUCAAAGGCCAUAUUUUGGUAGUUGAGCAAGGUGACCACUAGCGUUCGCGGCAAUGCACUCCAUCCUUGUAUCCCGGUUUUGCCUUGUAUAUUUAUACAUUUUUGGUCCAG